AAUAGUAGGCAAGUGAGCUGAUUAGAAUAUGGCCCAGGACACACAGCCUGCACCGCAAAACACAGCUAUCAACUAGACUCCUGGUCAUGUGACCUACACCAUGACACAGCUUUCAGAGAAACUGCAUCAUGUGGCCGGUUUGAACUACCUUCGGCCUAUUUCCCAGGGUGCCCCGGGGGAAGGGCUCGGGAGAGCUAUAUUUAACCGCGGAGAGGGAGAUCAGCGCACCGUCCUCUCCGCAGGGCAGCUGGGACUAUACUUAGCGCUUUGGCUGCCAAUGGGGCAGAGGGAACGGAUCUGACCGGGCCUGUAUUUACCUGCUCGUCUCAUUACAGCUUCAGUAAACCUGCAAUGAGGAACAUUCAUCAAGUGUAUAGAAUAUACGUCCAGUACCUCUCGCUUUACACUCAGUUCAGCUGAGUCGGGAGAUCGGAGUUCACUGUGACAUUAGACACAACUUGGAUCGAAUCAGUCUGCUUGUAAAUUAUACAGGCAGUACAAAAAAACGCAGAAAGAGUAACCAAAGAGAGUGAACAGAAACAUACACACAUAAAUAACGGACAUGCAUUCGUUGACCCCCUGCUAAUUCCAGCAGUUUUGUGUGAAAUCCUUUUUUCGUGGCUUCUGAACAUGAGGCAGAGACCUCUAAACUUCCCAGUGCAUACUGAAACCAUACAGCUUGAGCAGAGUUUUUGCUGCAGACUUUGAUGGUGAUGACAGCGACAAGAGUUUUUUUCAGGAUUUUCUGAAGCUACGGCUGAAGUGGAUUCUGCAGGAGUCUCUGUUCAUAUGGUUGCAUGGCUGUGACCUGAUUCUGUCACAUAGCAACCCCUCCAGUACCAUAAAUGUUAAAUGACACUAGGGGUUCAGCUCAGGUUGCCUUACCUACAAAGCACUGCAGCUUGCUGUCCCACAGAGGAGCCGCCCGGACACCGUUAGCCACCAGCGCAAAAAAGGCCUUCUUCACCUGCACAGCGUGGUGUCGAAUAUGACGAGCUUGGAGCUGGUUGGCAUGGCGUCGUAGCAGCAGUGAUUCAUCAUGAACUUCAUGUAGACCCUGGUAUCGAGGUCCAGGGCUGCAGGAAGGAACAGAACACCAGAACCCUGCUGCAGGAGAGUACAGACGAGCAUGCGCUCUUCUCCAAAACAGCUGCUGUCAGCCUGCACAUCCCAC